CGACGUUUUCUCUCCUCUUCCCCUUUUCUCCCACAACGCCGAGCCGUUACCUCUCCCAGCCAACCCGACGCCGUCUUCUUCUCUAAACCGUCGCCACGUCGGUUCCUCUCUUCUCCUCCGGUACAAAAGGAGUGGCCAAAGGAAGCCCUAGCCAUCUCCUCAAUUGCCACUUGCCCUCUUCCUCUCUUCCUCUCUUCUACCGACGCUGACUUCACUACCAGCGCCAACUCCGAUCACCCCUCUUCCUCUCCUCGAGCCUCCUUCCCUCUCUUCGCGAACACUAGGAGCCGCCGGAAAGCGAGCAUUCGAGCCCUAUUUUACUGUGCCCUAGUCUGAAGCCAUCGUCGCCGCGCCAGUUGCUAUGAGCCCUUACUGUCAAGCGCGACUUCUUCUCCUAACUCUCGGUUGCCACUGCAAGAAACCCUAGCGCCGACCACUAGCUCCUCUGCCGAACUUCACUACAUCUCCUCUCCCGAUUGCCGCGAGCCACUAUGUCGAACCACUUCUCACAACAGGUCUAUUCUCGGGAAUGCGCCAGAUAUUGCUGCACAACUCUGUGAUGUUUUAGGUCGGAGGACAGCAACCCUAGUUUGCUUCGACCACUGGUUUCCGACGUUUUCCGACAACAGGCACAUUCGGUAGUGACUCAACAGUCGAGCAUUCAGAUUUGGGGAUUUUAGGAUCUACUGUGGCAAUCUUGCUUCGGCUGAGGACAUCAAGAAAAAGGUUGCUGAGAUACAGGUAAAAGAAAAGUGGACUAGUGGAGGCUGGAGGGCAAUGCAAAUCAAGAUGUGUGUGGAAGGAACUAGAAUAAAGAUCCUUGGGAUCCAGCAAAUUCAAUUAAACAUAUGAACUCUAGUAUUUCUAUUACUCUUGGUUUUAGCAUGUUAAACGCCAUGAGCUAACGAACCAUGCUUUAGAUUAUGCUUAGAAUGUUAAAUAUAUGAUGUUAGA